rnacentral:rRNA from 1 species
GGGUAACGGGGUGUUAGGGCACGACACCGGAGAGGGAGCCUGAGAAACGGCUACCACAUCCAAGGAAGGCAGCAGGCGCGCAAAUUACCCAAUCCCGACAUGGGGAGGUAGUGACAAUAAAUAACAAUACAGGGUUCUUUUGGAUCUUGUAAUUGGAAUGAGUACAAUUUAAAUCUCUUAACGAGGAACAAUUGGAGGGCAAGUCUGGUGCCAGCAGCCGCGGUAAUUCCAGCUCCAAUAGCGUAUAUUAAAGUUGUUGCAGUUAAAAAGCUCGUAGUUGAAUUUCGGGAUCAAGGAAUCGGUCAUGCCUUGGUAUGUACUGGUUUUAUUGGUUCUCACCUUCUAAAGAACCAUAAUGUCAUUUAUUUGAUGUUAUGGGGAAUUAGGACUGUUACCUUGAAAAAAUUAGAGUGUUUAAAGCAAGCUUACGCUUGAAUACAUUAGCAUGGAAUAAUGAAAUAGGACAUCAGAUUCUAUUUUGUUGGUUUCUAGGAUCGAUGUAAUGAUUAAUAGGGAUAGUUGGGGGCAUUAGUAUUCAAUUGUCAGAGGUGAAAUUCUUGGAUUUAUUGAAGACUAACUACUGCGAAAGCAUUUGCCAAGGAUGUUUUCAUUAAUCAAGAACGAAAGUUAGGGGAUCGAAGACGAUCAGAUACC